AGGACGAACGCUGGCGGCGUGCUUAACACAUGCAAGUCGAGCGGUAAGGCCCUUCGGGGUACACGAGCGGCGAACGGGUGAGUAACACGUGAGCAAUCUGCCCUUCACAUCGGGAUAACCCCCGGAAACGGGAGCUAAUACCGGAUACGACCACUUCAGGCAUCUGAUGGUGGUGGAAAGUUCUGGCGGUGAAGGAUGAGCUCGCGGCCUAUCAGCUUGUUGGUGGGGUAAUGGCCCACCAAGGCUUCGACGGGUAGCCGGCCUGAGAGGGUGACCGGCCACACUGGGACUGAGACACGGCCCAGACUCCUACGGGAGGCAGCAGUGGGGAAUAUUGGACAAUGGGCGAAAGCCUGAUCCAGCCAACGCCGCGUGAGGGAUGACGGCCUUCGGGUUGUAAACCUCUUUCAGCGCAGACGAAGCGAAAGUGACGGUAUGCGCAGAAGAAGCACCGGCCAACUACGUGCCAGCCGCCGC
rnacentral:rRNA from 1 species